rnacentral:rRNA from 1 species
UCUUUUGAAUUGAGAUAUGAGUGGAAUAAAAAUAAGAAGCAUGGCGGUCCUUAAUCUCGUUAGAGGAGCAUGUAAUCAAAGGAGAAACGAAUUUGCACGAAGAUCUGUCCUGGUUUGGAAUAGAUUUCAUUUUGUACACCGCUGUCUGAAAGAGAUUAUAGAAGUAUUUUCUUCCUUCUCUUAAGGAAAUAAGGCAAGUUAAGGUGCAGAUAAUAAUCAGGGGGUUAUGUGUUCCAGUAGAAACGUUUAGGUUGAUAGAUGAAAAUUCUAUUAGGAAAGAGAAUUUAAUAGUAAGAUCAGAAACUAAUCUAAUCUGAAGAGGGGCUAUAAAGGGUGU